GAUAAUCUACGAAAUGUUACAUCAUCGUUAGAUAAUUAACAUUGUUGUUUUAUCGAUUUCAAAUGAUACUUUAAGUUGUAAAUAGUUCUGUUCUAUUUCUUAUGUUGUUGAUUACUACUCUUAAAACUAUGGUUGUAAAUAAUAUGUUUGUUAUUUGGUUUUUGAUAUAUAAAUUAACAUUUCCUGGUGACCAAAAAAAAAAAAAAAAAAUUAACAUUUCCUAGUUUCAACAGAUAGAAAUGGGCCUCAAAAGCCUUCUCAAUUUAUGGGCCGAACGUUUUAAAACAGC
rnacentral:lncRNA from 1 species